rnacentral:rRNA from 1 species
AUUGAACGCUGGCGGCAGGCUUAACACAUGCGAGUCGAGCGGAGAUGAGGUGCUUGCACCUUAUCUUAGCGGCGGACGGGUGAGUAAUGCUUAGGAAUCCGCCUAUUAGUGGGGGACAACAUUCCGAAAGGAAUGCUAAUACCGCAUCCGUCCUACGGGAGAAAGCAGGGGAUCUUCGGACCUUGCGCUAAUAGAUGAGCCUAAGUCGGAUUAGCUAGUUGGUGGGGUAUAGGCCUACCAAGGCGACGAUCUGUAGCGGGUCUGAGAGGAUGAUCCGCCACACUGGGACUGAGACACGGCCCAGACUCCUACGGGAGGCAGCAGUGGGGAAUAUUGGACAAUGGGGGGAACCCUGAUCCAGCCAUGCCGCGUGUGUGAAGAAGGCCUUAUGGUUGUAAAGCACUUUAAGCGAGGAGGAGGCUACUGAGACUAAUACUCUUGGAUAGUGGGCGUUACUCGCAGAAUAAGCACCGGCUAACUCUGUGCCAGCCGCCGCAGUAA